CGAAUCCGCGCGGGAGAGUCCGAGCCACACCUUGAGCUCGGCGCCGAAGGAGCAAGUCCUCCCCGGAACCUCUCAGGCACCCUGGACCGCGCGGACGAG
rnacentral:ncRNA from 2 species